UACGUAGGGGGCAAGCGUUGUCCGGAUUUAUUGGGCGUACAGAGCGUGUAGGCGGCUAGGUAGGUCCGUUGUGAAAACUCGAGGCUCAACCUCGAGACGUCGAUGGAAACCAUCUAGCUAGAGUCCGGAAGAGGAGAGUGGAAUUCCUGGUGUAGCGGUGAAAUGCGCAGAUAUCAGGAAGAACACCCGUGGCUAAGGCGGCUCUCUAGUACGGUACUGACGCUGAGACGCGAAAGCGUGGGGAGCGAACAGG
rnacentral:rRNA from 1 species